GUGCUCGCUUCGGCAGCACAUAUACUAAAAUUGGAAUGAUACAGAGAAGAUUAGCAUGGCCCCUGCGCAAGAGUAUUCACUGUGUUGUGCAAUCAUCCCCUCUAUC